rnacentral:tRNA from 1 species
GCGGACGUGGUGAAACCGGGAAACACGCAAGAUUUAGGAUCUUGUGCCGCAAGGCUUGUGGGUUCGACUCCCACCGUCCGCA